rnacentral:rRNA from 1 species
AGAGUUUGAUCCGUGCUCAGAUUGAACGCUGGCGGCAUGCGUAACACAUGCAAGUCGAACGGUGUUGGUGCUUGCACCAGACGAUAGUGGCGGACGGGUAGAGUAAUGCGUAGGAUCUGCUUAGAGAGGGGGACAACCCGAGGAAACUUGGGCUAAAACCGCAUAUUCUCGAGAGAGGAAAGCAGGGGACCGGAAACGGCCUUGUGCUCUAAGGUGAGCCCACGUCGGAUUAGCUAGUUGGUAGGGUAAAAGCCUACCAAGGCGAUGAUCUGUAGCUGGUCUGAGAGGACGGACAGCCACACUGGGACUGAGACACGGCCCAGACUCCUACGGGAGGCAGCAGUGGGAAUAUUGGACAAUGGGGGGAACCCUGAUCCAGCGAUGCCGCGUGUGUGAAGAAGGCCUGCGGGUUUGUAAAGCUACUUUCAGUGGGAAAGAGAAGCGUCUUGUGAAUAAUGGGACGUGGAGACGUUACUCACAGAAGAAGCACCGGCUAACUCUGUG